rnacentral:lncRNA from 1 species
CAUGACCUGCCAAGUUGACACCUGUGUUUUGAUUUCCUUAUGUCUUGCAGAACCUGGAUGCUCCUAAGGACCCCCCAGGAAAGUAAGCACCUGGCAUGUGUAUCAGAAGACCCCCUAUGGCCUCACACACAGGCACCGGCUUCUUCUUGACAACUUCCCUGGGUGACUCUUAGAACUCAAUGGCCACGUCCAGCUCAGAGAUCAGAAGCAGCGCGCGUCCCAGAGCGCUACCAUAAUGAUGCCGUCCAGGUCCACAGUACAACCGGCUGCCUUGGUCAUU